AGGAUUUUAAGUUAUUUUAAACUAGAGGCCUUCAAAGUUUCAAAAAAGAUUAAAAUCUUAAAUCUUA
rnacentral:tRNA from 1 species